GACAGGAUGUACCUUCCAUGAACCCGUAUUUAUUAGUAUUGAUUAUAUUACCCUCCUUUAAUUCUGUUAAUUAAUUAAUUUAAUUAAUUAAAUUAAUUAAUUAAAUAGCCCUUGUAAAGCUCCCACUGUUGGACACUCACCAGGCUUCUGUGUUUGGGUCCCAUCAUGCUAAACCCUUGUGCUUCAAGCUCUUAGCAGACCCUAGGGCUCUCUCUUUUAUUGGCUUCUCUGGCAUGCUCCCUGGAUGCAGGCGCUAUGUCUGUUGCUCCUUCAUGGAAAUGGGACCUUGGGGUCCAGUUACCCUAGGACCAGAAGACUAGUGCUGACCCCUACAUAGACAUCCCAGUAGUUUACGCAUUGUUCUCCAGAGCUCUGACUUUAUGGGUAUUUGGGGUUACAGUUUACCUCUCCAGGGAAGCGUGAUAGUUGAAGCAUGUAACACAGAGACUUUGCUCCCAAACCAAUCACUGUUCAUUUUAGAUAGCUCCAGAAACGUACAGCUCUUGUCAAAACACUAAAACAUUUCUACACCAUUUCUGUUUCACUUUCCUCACCACGCUGGAGUGCUCGUCAGGGUUUGGGGCAGUGUCCUUUCAGGAUUCCAAGUCCCCUCUCCUGCACCUCUCUCCUCAUGACUUCUCCUCUGCAAUGUGCAGUCUGCUCUCUCCUCCUGCCUGCUUCCUUUGAACUAGGCUGGUCCCACAGUCAAAGAAGGUCCCCUCUGCUACAAAAGCAUCCCUCUUUAUUCCUCUCUCCUGCUCGAACUUCCUCUGCUCAGAGUCCCUCUGAGUCUUUGGAGAAAAUUACCACCUGGUUUCUUUGUUUUCCUGUUAGUGGACUUUCCAUUUUCCGAAAACCCCUCCCUUCAGACUAUCUGGGUCAAACUGGUUCUCCCAGGUCAGGCAUCCUCCUUAGCAUAGCCACUGUUUGGCCAGAGACCAGGUAUUAAGGUUAAUGAUUUUUUUUUAUUUUUCUACAGGUUCUUCCAGACCAUGGAAGGAAAGGAAAAGGUGGGUGUUGUACAUCUCAAGGGCCCUGCUAGACACGCUGAGGCAUUCAGUGAUACAGAAAUUUCAUGCAAUUAACCAGAAUUCAUAAGUUGUACAGAGACAGAUUCCCCAAAUCGUCUCAGUUGAGUUUUUCAAGGAAUUUGGCAGCCUCUCAUCUUUCUCUGCACUUGCCAUGGCUGGAGAAAUAGUAUAUGCUGAUUUAAACAUUCCUGAAACUUUUUCCAUUUCAAAGUCACUGCAUCCAUCUCAGCAUCCCAAUAUCCCUCAGUGCCCACGCUGGCAUCGGCUGACUCUAUGGCUUGGAUGGGCUGGGAACAUUAUCCUGUGGCAGCUUGUGAUCACGCUUCCGUGUUUGGGGUCAGACUGGAAGACAGAGAACAACAAAUGGAACUGAAUGUAAUUCCCAGCUGAAGGAUUCCCAAGUCUUGCUCGAAACAAAGUUUGUAUCCAAAACCAGACAACAACUCAACAGAGAGCUGUGGGUUCAAACUGUGCCCCGCUGACUGGCUGCCGCACAA